AUGUUAAUAAUAAUAGAGAAAAAGAACAAACUACAUGGGCGGUGUCCCUCUGUUCCUAUGUUCCUUUUUUUUCUUCCAUUCUUAGUGUAUCUCAGAGGAAAAACAGAUUUACACACCGAUCCAUAUCAAAACAACAGAGUGCUCCUGCACCAGUCUAAAUUUGAGCAUAUCAGUGCACGGAGUGGGGUUGCUGAUGUUGUACCGCAAUGGAGACAGAGGAAGUCGCGAUUGACUUAUGGAUCUGGUCGGAGGAACCUCAGUGGUACGGUGAGUUAA